CCUACGGGGGGCUGCAGUUUCGAAUCAUUCACAAUGGGCGAAAGCCUGAUGGUGCGACGCCGCGUGAGGGAUGAAGGUCUUCGGAUUGUAAACCUCUGUCACUGGGGAGAAAACGCUUUGAGUUAAUAGUUCAAAGCCUGAUUUAACCCGGAGAGGAAGCAGUGGCUAACUCUGUGCCAGCAGCCGCGGUAAUACAGAGGGUGCAAGCGUGCUUAGGGGGCACGCAGGCGAAAGGGUGCGCAAGAUGUGAAAUCCCGAGGCUUAACCUCGGAACUGCGUCUGAAACUACUCGACUAGAGUACUGGAGAGGGAAACGGAAUUCACGGUGUAGCAGUGAAAUGCGUAGAUAUCGUGAGGAACACCAGAGGCGAAGGCGGUUUCCUGGACAGUUACUGACGCUCAGGCACGAAAGCAUGGGGAGCAAAAGGGAUUAGAUACCCGUGUAGUC
rnacentral:rRNA from 1 species